UGGGAUGAAGGCCUUCGGGUUGUAAACCACUUUUGGCGGGGGCGAAAUAUCGAGUGCUAAUACCAUUCGGUGAUGACGGUACCCGCAGAAUAAGCACCGGCUAACUACGUGCCAGCAGCCGCGGUAAUACGUAGGGUGCAAGCGUUAAUCGGAAUUACUGGGCGUAAAGCGUGCGCAGGCGGUUAGGUAAGACAGAUGUGAAAUUCCCGGGCUCAACCUGGGAACUGCAUUUGUGACUGCCUGACUAGAGUGCGGCAGAGGGGAGUGGAAUUCCGCGUGUAGCAGUGAAAUGCGUAGAUAUGCGGAGGAACACCGAUGGCGAAGGCAACUCCCUGGGCCUGCACUGACGCUCAUGCACGAAAGCGUGGGGAGCAAACAGGAUUAGAUACCCUGGUAGUCCACGCCCUAAACGAUGUCGACUAGUUGUUGGACGGGAUACUGUUCAGUAACGAAGCUAACGCGUGAAGUCGACCGCCUGGGGAGUACGGCCGCAAGGUUAAAACUCAAAUGAAUUGACGGAAAA
rnacentral:rRNA from 1 species